AUUGAACGCUGGCGGCAGGCCUAACACAUGCAAGUCGAGCGAGCGGCGGACGGGUGAGUAAUGUCUGGGAAACUGCCAGAUGGAGGGGGAGAACUACUGGAAACGGUAGCUAAUACCGCAUACCAUCAGACGUGGCCAGAUCGGAUUAGCUAGUUGGUGGGGUAACGGCCCACCUAGGCGACGAUCCCUAGCUGGUCUGAGAGGAUGACCAGCCAACCUGGAACUGAGACACGGUCCAGACUCCUACGGGAGGCAGCAGUGGGGAAGAUUGCACAAUGGGCGCAAGCCUGAUGCAGCCAUGCCGCGUGUGUGAAGAAGGCCUUCGGGUUGUAAAGCACUUUCAGCGGGGAGGCGUUACCCGCAGAAGAAGCACCGGCUAACUCCGUGCCAGCAGCCGCGGUAAUUC
rnacentral:rRNA from 1 species